rnacentral:snRNA from 1 species
GUGUAACACAUAUACUAAAAUUAGAGCAAUACAUAGAAGAUUAGCCUGACUCCCACACAAGGAUGACAUGCAAAUAAUGUUUAAGCAUUU